rnacentral:rRNA from 1 species
UACGUAGGGUGCAAGCGUUAUCCGGAUUCACUGGGUUUAAAGGGUGCGUAGGAGGGCAGGUAAGUCAGUGGUGAAAUCUUCGAGCUUAACUCGGAAACUGCCGUUGAUACUAUCUGUCUUGAAUACCGUGGAGGUGAGCGGAAUAUGUCAUGUAGCGGUGAAAUGCUUAGAUAUGACAUAGAACACCAAUUGCGAAGGCAGCUCGCUACACGAAUAUUGACUCUGAGGCACGAAAGCGUGGGGAUCAAACAGG